rnacentral:rRNA from 1 species
UACGAGGGGGGCAAGCGUUGUUCGGAAUUAUUGGGCGUAAAGGGCGCGUAGGCGGUGCGGUAAGUCACCUGUGAAAACUCUGGGCUCAACUCAGAGCCUGCAGGCGAAACUGCCGUGCUUGAGUGUGGGAGAGGCGAGUGGAAUUCCUGGUGUAGCGGUGGAAUGCGCAGAUAUCAGGAGGAACACCGGUGGUGUAGACGGCUUUCUGGACCAUAACUGACGCUGAGACACGAAAGCGUGGGUAGCAAACAGG